rnacentral:tRNA from 1 species
UUUAAUAUGGCAGAUUAGUGCAAUGAAUUUAAGUUUCAUGAAUAAAAUUUUAUAUUUUUAUUAAAU